GGGGGCCCGUCGGCAGCGGGGCCAGACCUGGCUGGGCGCGCCUGUCAGGUUCGGGGAUCUGAGGGCCCUGGGGCUUCUGUUCUGCCAGGCCCUCCCACCCUGCGCCCCCCCUCCGCUCCGGGAGUCCUGGGGUCAGGAGUGGGUCUCAGUCCCUCUCCGACCCCAGCUCACAGCUGUGCUGAGGGCCACGCAGGCCCCUCAUGCCCACGUGCCCAUGUGCAGACCAGCCGCCGGGGGGGGGCCCCUCUCCUUUGCUCCUUUUCUGCCUCCCCCAGACCUCCCAGGGGUCCCCCGCACCCAGGGCCUCCCCUCAUCCCCUGGAAGACGGGGCCCCAAACUCCGACCACGCAGCUCUGGCUGCUCCAGCCCAGUUGGGCACCCACACCACCCUCCCUAGCGGGGCUCACCUCUUGGCUCCCCUCGAGGGCUCUGGGGAGGCAGCCAGGCUGGGGGCACUGAGAGCCUGCCAGGGCUCCAGCUUUUAUACCUGCAGCCGCUCAGCCUGUUUACAGCUUGGGGCUGCAGCUGUGCCCUGUGCCCCUGUCCCUCCUGGCCACUCCAGCCUGGCACUGGCCAUCCCCAGCGGCUCGAUGGCUCUUGGCGUGUCCACACCGGGCCGGGCAGAGCGACCAGCAGCAGCGCCGGGCCGCCUGGGCCCGGGGGGUGGGGUUGGGAGUGUGAUGGCAUUGGGGAGUGAGUGGGGACCUUCUCUCUGUCACAGGAGGUCCCACCCUGCCUGCUGACUUCACGGGGCUGAGGUGGGGUGGCCGUCCCCCAACCCGAGACGGCGCGUGUGUCCGAGGCGGCAACGGAAGACUCUGGACGAUUGGGUCUCCUUGGGUGCCCCACGGGCCCCAGCGGGCAGCACGGACGUCGGCCCCCGGGUCUGUCCGCCCAGCGGAUGCAAUCCGCCUGAAAGGAAGGAGGCGCCAGGUCGCUACAGCGCAGAUGAGCCCUGACAGCCCCACGCGGCGUGAAAAGAGCCGAUCCCAGCCGACCGCAGGGUCUGUGAUGCCAUUUGCAGAAAGUGUCCAGCCGAGUCCAGUCCGUGGAGACAGAAAGCAGAUCGGUGGGGGCUGGGGGCAAUGGGCGGUUCCCAGUGGGCGCGGGGUUUGCCUUUAGAGCGUUCUGGAACCAGAUAAAGGUGAUGGUUGCGCUCCAUGGUGAAUGCACCAAGCGCUGCUGAAUUGUUCACGGAAAA